rnacentral:lncRNA from 10 species
AGAUUUGUGGGAGGAAACUAUAAAACAGGAGUUUUGCUUUGGAAAUAUUGAAUUUUAUAUUCUAUUGGAGAUGUUGUAUAGGAGGGUAGAUACAGAUUCACAGGAGAGGUCUGAAUGACAGAUAUAACUGGGAGUCAUCAGCCUAUAAAUGACAAUUCAAGCCAUGAGAAUAAUUAAGAUUAUCAUGGGGUUGAAUGUAUAAUCUUGGACAAGUUAAUGGACCUCACUAACCACCAAUAUCUUCAUCUAUAAAAUAGAGACUAUACCCAUUAAUGCUUGUGUUGUAAUGACUUGUUGUAAGGAUUAAAUGAAACCAAUGUAGCCUAGAAUUGUUUAAACUAUUUUUAGUAGCUCUGCUAAAUUGCUGCUCUGUGUUUAACUCAAAUUUCCAGAACUUUUCACGUGACAUACUUCCAUUCAAACAUAUAUCCUCCUCCAUCUUGUGCAGUGUAAUUGACGUCUUUCAUCAAAAUGCAUCCCUUCCACAUCCAACCUCAAUCUUAGGCCAAUUUGCUGUCUCCUUGUUUCUACAUGCUGCAUGCUGCCAUGAAGCAUACAUAUAGAGUGUACUCUGUCAUACUUGUUGUCUAUGACUUCCCUAUUGAGGCUACAUAAUGGACUAGACUUCAAAGAAGCAACUGGACUGCAGUAGGCUCAGUCAUGGUUCAGCAAAUAGCACCAACAACCUAAAAGAGCUGGUGGAAUACCAACUUCAUGUACACUUGGCUUAUUCAGCACCCAUAAAAUUCAAUGGACCACCAUCCGGACAAAAGGAUAAAAACAGAACACAUCAAGAUAAUGAAUUUUCUUCAAACUACUGAGGUACAAUGAAAAAUGGAAAUAUUAUCUCAGAAAUUACAACAGAGGGAUGAAGAUAUAGCAUAUGCUGUACCUAAAAGAUACAUCAAAUGGGACAUUGGGAAUAUGGAUUGAUGAAAUUUAAUUUGCGAUUGUCCUAUAAUGCCUUUUCAUUACAGUACCACACAAAUUGAGGCAAUAAAUGUAUAUUUGAUCAAAAAAG